ensembl:snRNA LOC120095723 U7 small nuclear RNA
GAGUUAUUACAGCUCUAUUAGAAUUUGUCUAGCAAGUUUUCUGACAUUGGUCACAGAAGCAA